CGAGCGGAACGGAUGGGCAACUGUCCGUUUAGCGGCGAACGGGUGAGUAAUGUAUAGAUAACCUGCCCUUGAGAGGGGGAUAACAACUGGAAACGGUUGCUAAUACCGCAUGAAGUUAUCCAUGCGCAUGUGUGGAUAAUAAAAGUGGGGGACCUUCGGGCCUUAUGCUCGAGGAGGGGUCUAUAUCCUAUCAGCUAGUUGGCGGAGUAAAAGCCCACCAAGGCGAUGACGGGUAGCCGGCCUGAGAGGGUGAACGGCCACAUGGACACUGAGAUACGGGUCCAACUUCUACGGGAGGCAGCAGUAGGGAAUAUUGGGCAAUGGGCGAAAGCCUGACCCAGCGACGCCGUGUGAGGGAUGAAGGCCUUAGGGUUGUAAACCUCUAACGCCGAUCAAGAAGUGUGCGGGUGCUAACAACGCCAGCAUGCAGACGAGUCGGGGAUGAAGUCAUGGCUAACUCUGUGCCAGCAGCAGCGGUAAUACAGAGAUGACAACCGUUAUUCGGAAUCACUGGGCUUAAAGGGCACGUAGGCGGUGAGCUAAGUUGGUUGUGAAAUAUCACGUUUUAAGCGUGGAACGUCAGCCAAUACUGACUUGCUUGAGGAUAGCAGAGGAGAGUGGAAUUCCUGGUGGAGCGGUGAAAUGCGUUGAUAUCAGGAGGAACAUCGGAGGCGAAGGCGACUCUCUGGGCUAUACCUGACGCUGAGGUGCGAAAGCUAGGGGAGCAAACGGGAUUAGAUACCCCGGUAGUCCUAGCCGUAAACGAUGGGUACUAAGUAGGGGAGGCAACUUCCCUGCCGUAACAAAAGCGUUAAGUACCCCGCCUGGGGAGUAUAGUCGCAAGGCUGAAACUCAAAGGAAUUGACGGGGGCUCGCACAAGCGGUGGAGCAUGUGGUUUAAUUCGAUCAACGCGAAGAACCUUACCUGGACUUGACAUGCAUGGAUUAGGUUACCGAAAGGCAACUGACGGCCCGCAAGGGCAGGAACUUGCACAGGUGUUGCAUGGCUGUCGUCAGUUCGUGCCGUGAGGUGUUGGGUUAAGUCCCAUAACGAGCGAAACCUUUGUCCUUAGUUACCAUCGGGUAAAGCCGGGGACUCUAAGGAGACUGCAGGCGUUAAGCCUGAGGAACGUGGAGACGACGUCAAGUCAUCAUGGCCUUUAUGUCCAGGGCUACACACGUGCUACAAUGGGCGGUACAAAGGGAUGCCAAGUCGCAAGGCGGAGCAAACCCCAAAAAACCGUCCCCAGUUCAGAUUGCGGGCUGCAAUUCGCCCGCAUGAAGUUGGAAUCGCUAGUAAUCGUGGGUCAGCUACACCACGGUGAAUGUGUUCCCGAGCCUUGUACACACCGCCCGUCAAGCCACCGAAGCAGGGGUAGCCUGAAGUCACUGACCCAACCAGCAAUGGAGGGAGGUGCCCAAGGAAGCUUCUGUGACGGGGACUAAGUCGUAACAAGGUA
rnacentral:rRNA from 1 species